CAGAGAAAAAUGUGCAGCCUUUAGCUCUGUACUGUGCAGUAAUCCAAUUUAAGGUAUAACUUUUGUAAGCACAAUAGGAUUCAAAUGCUUCAAUUAGAAAAUUAACCAGUAGAGAAGUCUCUGGCAGCUCAGGGUGGGGGAGAAAUGAUGGUCAAUUAAUAAAGGGUUGUGGAAUCUUGUAGGGAUGGGAACUUGAUGGAGAAGAUGGGACUGUCCCCCUUCCUCCAUGAGUAGCUCCCCCCCCCCCCACCCCCCCAACUUCUCCUCCGCAGUGUCACCGACUGAUCCUCGGGGCUUCCUCUGUCUAGGACCGAGGACAUAGGACCGCUACUGUCGGUCGGUUCGCUGAUGUUAUUUACAUAACUGCACUGCUUUUGCCACCUGCUUUGCAUAUUCUGCAUUUAAGACUUUUAUGGCAGAAAAUAUAAAUACCGUGAGAAUUUCAGGAGUAUUGUCCCUGAUACAGACAAUCAAAGGAAGAGUAAAUCAGGACAGGGAAUCAGCUGGAGUCUGUGCCAUUUCGGUGUGGUCAUCUUUAGCCCGCAUUGAUCAGCAGUGCUGCAGUAAUUUGAGGCAUGACUGAUAUUCCCUUCAUUCGGGGAUGUCGGACUGUGUUUGGCUCAGCUAAUUAUGGAUUAAUUAUAAAGAUGGCCAUGUCAUCACUUUCCAAAAUCUUCUAAUGCUAUGAAUAAUUGGGUUUGAUAAGAGUGGGACCUGUAUCUGUUGUGCAGUCCUGGAAGUCUACCGAGCGAUGGCUCUCCCCGUGAAUAACUAAAGGCUUAGGUCACCUGUCGUAUGGUGGGGUGACCUGUCACACCCCAAUGAGGAUUGGCCUCCUUUGCAAUGUAACCAUUCAACCAGCUGAAUGGCCAUGCACCUGACCAUUUGGAUGGUCAGUUCAGCACAAUCCCAAGAUGUAUCUGGAUCUGUUAGCCUUAAGCUUUUUGUGUAAAACUUAUUCAUUCCACAUUUAAAUUGAAUCUUAAAAUAGGAUUUAGAGACGGGAUAAUGAAGUUUGAAAGCAUAGAUGCAAGUUUAAUGACUCCACUGUUUGAGCUGUCCACAUGCACAGUCUCAAAGUAUGGAGUCAGCUAAUCUUGGCUGAGAGGAAGUUCUUCAACAAGUGGGCAGUGAAUCGUGAGAGUUAUGGAGGCUCAGUCACCCAGUAUGUUUAACAUAACGAUUAAUGGAUAUUUAAAUAUAUCAAGUGAAUGAAACGGUAAAAGAUGCCAUAAUCUGGAGCAGAAAAACCAAACUCUUGAAGGUACCAGGCAGGUCAAGCAGCAUCUGUGGAGCCAAUGGGAUGGAUGACAUUGUGGAUGGAGACCUGAACCAGGACUGAAAUUGUGGAGGGGAAGUAGUCCAUAUAAAGUGGUGAGGGGGUGAGGGGUGUCAGCAGCUGGCAGGGAUAGGUGGAACAAGUGAGAGUGCUAGGUAGGGUCAGAUAAAGAGAUAGAGAGAGAAAAGGCAGAUGUAUCCAGACAGGGGGAGGGGACACAGAGGCUGGAGUGUGAUAAGUGGAAACAAAAGAGGCUUCAUAAACUAAAUACGUGGAACCAGGUAAGGGAGAGAUGACAGGCAGAUGGAAUGGGAGCAACAUUGAUGCAAAAACGUGUGGAACUGUUGAUAGUGAAAAGGUUUGUCCAAGGCUGCAGCGAGCCAGGCCUUCAUAGGCUGAGACAUGAAGUAUAAGAGUACAGCUGUACAAAGCAUUGUUUAGUCUGCACUGAGUAUCUUGUACAGUUCUGUUGAACACAGCAGGAAGGACAUGGUAGCAAUAGAGUACAGCAGAGAUUCACCAACAUGGUGCCAGCAAGGGAGGGCUCCAAUAAGAAUGGUUGGAGAGGCUGAGUUUAUUCUCACUGGAACAUAGGAGACUGCGGAGGCUCAGAGAUUUACAAAAUUAUCUAGAGAUAGUUAGAAUGUUCUCCCCACACCAAGGAGUCUAGAACUAGAGGUUAGUUCGUUUCAGUUAGUUAGUUUAUUGUCACGUGUACCGAGGUACAGUGAGAAGUUUUUGUUGCAUGUUAUCCAGUCAGCAGAAAGACAACACGUGCACAUGAUUACAAUUGAGCCAUUUACAGUGUAUGAUAAGGGAUAGAUGAUGAGGGCACUGGUUUAAGCUGAGGGGGGAGACAUUAAAUGGAGAUCUGAGGAGUAAGUUUUUCAUACAGUGUGUGGUGAAUAUUUGGAACAAGGUGGGUACUAUUACAAAGUUUAAAGGUAUUUGUGUAUGUGUUUAGACAGGAGAAAUGUGGAUGGAUAUAGGCCCAAUGCAGGCAAACGGUAUUAGCAUAGGGUAGACGUCAUUGUUGGCAUGGCUAGGGCACAUGGAUCUCCACUGUACAUUCCUGUCAUCUUUCCAUAAGCCCCAAGGUUGCAACCAUUAUCAUCGACUGUUCAAAGAAUUUCCUGUAAGCGCUAUUGUAGGAGAUAACGAGAAUCCCUCCACCUUCAGACCCUGUAACCUCAGUCAGGGGGGGUCUCAGUCACGGUGGAAUUUACAAAAUGCUCAUUCAGAUACAGGACCCACUUGCCUCACAGCAAUAAUGAAGUCACCAACUCGUGAGGUGUUGAUCAGGAGCCCAUGCAGAUGAGGAGAUGUGUGUAAGGGGAUAAUGGAGCAGUAUAACAGUAUGUAUUUCACAAGGGGGAGGGGGAAGCUUGAAGUAAUAUUGCAUAGGGGACACCCUGGGAAAUGAUCAACAGAUAAGAUGCAGAGAGAUAGUUCUGUGUCCACUGUUGAUGAUUAGUGACCAAUCUAUUGACAUUCACAUGAGUGAGAAAAGAUUUGAGUUGAUAAUUUAGUCAUCUGUGGGGCAGAAGUGUGUUGGAGGCAUGUUUAUAUACUAGGGCGGCCCAUGUACUAAGCAAUAUUUUGUACAUCAUUUUGAAAUUAUUUUGAAUUAUGCCAAUCCAGGUGCAGAACUCAGAAACAAGGAAGACUUGGCAAAGCCCACGUGGGUGGUGAGGCUGGUGGAUCAGAGCAGGCGUGGACCAGAAUAGAUUUGAGCUUUGCCCCUUUCUGGGUGAAGGUGGUGUUGGUCUAUAUGCUCAAAAACCUUGCCUUGGUGCCGGCAAUCCAAACAGAGACCCCUUGUGCCCAAGCUCUAUCCAAAACCCAAAGUGUAAACUGAAUAGAUAACAGCUUGUAAAAAUGCAUACAUUAUAUUUCAGAGAUUAUAAAAAGUGAAUUUUUUAUGCACUAAUAAAUAUAAGAAUUUCAAAAAAG